rnacentral:rRNA from 1 species
AACUUAAGCAUAUCAAUAAGCGGAGGAAAAGAAACUAACAAGGAUUCCCCUAGUAACGGCGAGUGAAGAGGGAAGAGCCCAAGAUUGAAAGCUGGCGUCUUCGGCGUCCGCAUUGUAAUCUCAAGAAGUGUUUUCCGCUUCGGACCAUGCCUAAGUCCCUUGGAAAAGGGCAUCAUAGAGGGUGAUAAUCCCGUACAUGGCAUGGAGCGCCCGUAGCUUUGUGAUACGCUUUCUAAGAGUCGAGUUGUUUGGGAAUGCAGCUCAAAAUGGGUGGUAAAUGCCAUCUAAGGCUAAAUAUUGGGGAGAGACCGAUAGCGAACAAGUACAGUGAUGGAAAGAUGAAAAGAACUUUGAAAAGAGAGUUAAACAGUACGUGAAAUUGCCAAAAGGGAAGGGUAGGAGGUCAGAGAUGCGUCUUGGGAUUCAGCCUUGCUUUUGCCUGGUGUUUUUCCCAAGCUGCAGGCCAACGUCGGUUUUGGGCACUGGAGAAGGGUAGGAGGAACGUGGCACCUCUCGGGGUGUGUUAUAGCCUCCUACUGGAUACAGCGACCGAGACCGAGGAACGCAGCGUACUCGUAAGAGCGGGCCUUUUGGCACCUUUACGCUUAGGGCGUUGGCAUAAUGGCCCUCUACCACCCGUCUUGAAACACGGACCAAGGAGUCUAACAUGUAUGCGAGUCUUUGGGUGGCAAACCCAUAGGCGCAAUGAAAGUGAAUUCAGGUGGGAUCCGCAAGGUGCACCAUCGACCGAUCCUCACGUCUUUUAAGUCGUGGAUUUGAGUAAGAGCAUACCUGUUGGGACCCGAAAGAUGGUGAACUAUGCCUGAAUAGGGUGAAGCCAGAGGAAACUCUGGUGGAGGCUCGUAGCGGUUCCCACGGCAACACCCAUCGUCAAA